GACUCAACACGGGGAAACUCACCAGGUCCAGACAUAACUAGGAUUGACAGAUUGAUAGCUCUUUCUUGAUUUUAUGGGUGGUGGUGCAUGGCCGUUCUUAGUUGGUGGAGUGAUUUGUCUGGUUAAUUCCGAUAACGAACGAGACCUUAACCUGCUAAAUAGCCAGACCGUCUUUUGAUGGUUGCGGGCUUCUUAGAGGGACUGUCAGGAUCUACCUGACGGAAGUUUGAGGCAAUAACAGGUCUGUGAUGCCCUUAGAUGUUCUGGGCCGCACGCGCGCUACACUGACAAAGCCAGCGAGUUUAUCACCUUGGCCGGAAGGUCCGGGUAAUCUUGUGAAACUUUGUCGUGCUGGGGAUAGAGCAUUGCAAUUAUUGCUCUUCAACGAGGAAUGCCUAGUAAGCGCAAGUCAUCAGCUUGCGUUGAUUACGUCCCUGCCCUUUGUACACACCGCCCGUCGCUACUACCGAUUGAAUGGCUUAGUGAGGUCUUCGGAUCGACUUUGAGGCCCCGGCAACGGGAUCUCGUUGUUGAGAAGUUGAUCAAACUUGGUCAUUUAGAGGAAGUAAAAGUCGUAACAAGGUUUCCGUAGGUGAACCUGCGGAAGGAUCAUUAACGAAUUACAAAGUCGGCCUUGCUGUUGCUGGUGGAAACACAUGUGCACGCUCGGUCGCAAAUCCACACACCUGUGCAUCUAUGACCCGAGGUUGUCGUCGUAUGACCGAGGGUAAAAUUUACACACUCUUGAAUGUAAUGGAAUGUCUCUUGUGCAUAAUGUACAAUUAAACAACUUUCAACAACGGAUCUCUUGGCUCUCGCAUCGAUGAAGAACGCAGCGAAAUGCGAUAAGUAAUGUGAAUUGCAGAAUUCAGUGAAUCAUCGAAUCUUUGAACGCACCUUGCACCCUUUGGUAUUCCGAAGGGUACGCCCGUUUGAGCGUCAUUGUAAUCUCACUUCUACCACUUUGUUGUUGUAGAAUGUGGACUUGGACGUCUGCCGUGUCACAACGGCUCGUCUUAAAUGCCUGAGUGUACCCCGCUUUGCGGCGUAUUCGGUGUGAUAAACAUUUCACCGGAGUUUGGUCUCUGACCGCGCUUUUAGCAAUUGGUGGGCUCUAUGCUUUCUAACCGUCUUUAUAAGACAAUCUUUGACAAUUUGACCUCAAAUCGGGCGGGACUACCCGCUGAACUUAAGCAUAUCAAUAAGCGGAGGAAAAGAAACUAACAAGGAUUCCCCUAGUAACGGCGAGUGAAGAGGGAAAAGCUCAAAUUUUGAAUCUGGUGUCUUUGACUCCCGAGUUGUAAUCUAGAGAAGUGUUUUCCGUGUCGGACCGUGUACAAGUUCCCUGGAACGGGGCGUCAUAGAGGGUGAGAAUCCCGUAUAUGCCACGGACUACCGAUGCUCUGUGAUACACUCUCAACGAGUCGAGUUGUUUGGGAAUGCAGCUCAAAAUGGGUGGUAAAUUCCAUCUAAAGCUAAAUAUUGGCGAGAGACCGAUAGCGAACAAGUACCGUGAGGGAAAGAUGAAAAGCACUUUGGAAAGAGAGUGAAACAGUACGUGAAAUUGUUGAAAGGGAAGCGUUUGAAGUCAGUCGCAUCUGUUGGGAUUCAGCCUGGCUUCUGCCUGGUGUAUUUCCUUUCCGAUGGGUCAGCAUCAGUUUCGACCAAGGGAAAAAGACACUUGGAAUGUGGCUGUCUUCGGGCAGUGUUAUAGCCUUGUGUUGUAUGUCUUGGUUGGGACUGAGGAACGCAGCGCGCCAUUUUGGCCGGGGGUCGCUCCUCUCGACACGCGCUUAGGAUGCUGGCAUAAUGGCUUUAAGCGGCCCGUCUUGAAACACGGACCAAGGAGUCUAACAUGUGCGCGAGUGUUUGGGUGUUAAACCCGAGCGCGAAAUGAAAGUGAAAGGUCGGGAACAUUCAUUUGUGCACCGACGCCCGGAGCAGACCUUCUGUGACGCAUCCGCGGUAGAGCGUAUAUGUUGGGACCCGAAAGAUGGUGAACUAUGCCUGAAUAGGGUGAAGCCAGAGGAAACUCUGGUGGAGGCUCGUAGCGAUUCUGACGCGCAAAUCGAUCGUCAAAUUUGGGUAUAGGGGCGAAAGACUAAUCGAACCAUCUAGUAGCUGGUUCCUGCCGAAGUUUCCCUCAGGAUAGCAGAAACUCGUAUCAGCCUUGUGCGGUAAAGCGAAUGAUUAGAGGCCUUGGGGUUGAAACAACCUUAACCUAUUCUCAAACUCUAAAUGUGCAAGACAGAGUUGUCACUUGAUUGGACUUCUCUCUGGGUGAGAGUUUCUAGUGGG
rnacentral:rRNA from 1 species